rnacentral:rRNA from 1 species
CCUACGGGAGGCAGCAGUGGGGAAUAUUGGGCAAUGGGCGCAAGCCUGACCCAGCAACGCCGCGUGAAGGAAGAAGGCUUUCGGGUUGUAAACGUCUUUUGGACGGGACGAAGAAAGUGACGGUAGCGUAAGAAGAAGCGACGGCUAACUACGCGCCAGCAGCCGCGGUAAGACGUAGGUGGCAAGCGUUAGCCGGAUUUAAGGGGGGUAAAGGGGGAGGAGGCGGGCUUGCAAGGCAGAUAUGAAAACUCUGGGCGCAACCGAUAGAGUGCAUUUGAAACUGUUGUUCUUGAGUGCUGGGGAGGCAGGCGGAAUUCCCGGUGUAGCGGUGGAAUGCGUAGAUAUCGGGCGGACCACCAGUGGCGAAGGCGGCCUGCUGGACAUUACCUGACGCUGAGGCGCGAACGCGUGGGGAGCAAACAGGAUUAGAUACCCCUGUAGUC